rnacentral:rRNA from 1 species
AGUCGAACGGUACCUUUCGGGGUACAGUGGCGGACGGGUGAGUAACGCGUGAGAAUCUGGCUCCAGGUUCGGGACAACCAUUGGAAACGGUGGCUAAUACCGGAUGUGCCUAGGGGUGAAAGAUUAAUCGCCUGGAGAUGAGCUCGCGUCUGAUUAGCUAGUUGGUGGGGUAAGGGCUUACCAAGGCGACGAUCAGUAGCUGGUCUGAGAGGACGAUCAGCCACACUGGGACUGAGACACGGCCCAGACUCCUACGGGAGGCAGCAGUGGGGAAUUUUCCGCAAUGGGCGAAAGCCUGACGGAGCAAUACCGCGUGAGGGAGGAAGGCUCUUGGGUUGUAAACCUCUUUUCUCAGGGAAGAACGCAAUGACGGUACCUGAGGAAUCAGCAUCGGCUAACUCCGUGCCAGCAGCCGCGGUAAUACGGAGGAUGCAAGCGUUAUCCGGAAUGAUUGGGCGUAAAGGGUUCGCAGGUGGUAGUGAAAGUUUGCUGUUAAAAGUCGGGGCUCAACCCCGAACCGGCGGUGAAAACUACACAACUAGAGUGCGGUAGGGGCAGAGGGAAUUCCUGGUGUAGCGGUGAAAUGCGUAGAGCUCAGGAAGAACACCGGUGGCGAAAGCGCUCUGCUAGACCUGCACUGACACUGAGGGACGAAAGCUAGGGGAGCGAAUGGGAUUAGAUACCC